UCGAUUUUCGUCCCCCGAGAUUGGGGAGGGGGAAAGAAAAGGGGCCACCAUGCAACAGAAACCUCUCUACAACGUUACCUCUUGCCACUCGUCCCAUUCUCUGUCUUCUCUUCCUCUCUGUUAUCUCCUGCUGUUGCUGCCAUGACUGCUGUUGCUGCCAUGACUGCUGUUGAGGGCCUAAUUUCCCAUGGAUGCUCAAGUUUGGCUCCAAGGGCAACCACACUUUCUCCGUCGGCCGGGCGCCAACACCAUCCUCUUCUUCCUUCCUAGGGCUGCAGUGCUAUUCCUCUCAGGUGCAUGGACGUCAAGAACCAUCCUCACCUGCAUUUCCGCAAUCAGUUUCACAUGCAGAACUUAACUUCUGGCAGAAUGAUUCUGUUUGCCACCGCUUCUCACGAAGGAUCUGACCAUUAUCUGGAUUUUAAAGUGGAAAAAUUGAAGAAUGAGCUUGAGAAGCAGUCGGAAGAGUCACAAGAAGCAUGGAAGAGCACAAUAGAAUCUUACAUCUUACAAAGAGCAGGCUGCGAAAAUGAAAGACUUGUCAGAGGAAGCGUAUGAAUUGUAUCCUAAGAAAGCCAUGGUGCUUUUUGAAGAUGUCUCUGAGCAGGUCAAAGUACAAGCAAAGAAAGCUAGGAAAUAUAUAUCUUUGAUCGCAGAAGUCACCAUAGAGGGAAGGGAGUAUCUUUCUUCUGCAACGGAGAACCCUCUGAAGCCAGUAAAGGAAAGUGGAAACUUUUACUAGUGAAGGUGCUGAGUUGAAAAAAAUAUCUGAAAAUUCAUGAUUUUUUCAUUGGAAUUCCAUAUGAUGCACUGCUGUUCAUCGGUGGAUUUCUCUCCUUCAUGCUAAUUGUAAGCAUUCCAGCAAUUAGGUUUGGCAUGAUUCUAGGAGGUGCACUGUUGUAAAGGAGCAUAUUAAGCUUAAGAGGUUGGAAAGCAUGAAAAUCUUCUGCCUUAUAUUUGCAGGGUCAAGCAGAUAAGUUUUUAGUAUAGUAUCUCACAUGAAUUCAUUAUUAAAAAACAUCACUAUUUUUUCCACGUAUGUUUUGUUCAAUUAAGGUGCUUGGUAACUAUGUCAAAUAUUUGUUGUCACAAGUAGAAAUUAUAUUUCAUUUUUUCAGAUUUUUAUUGAGAUAACAUGCUUCCCUUUUACCACAUGUGAGAACACAUGUUCUAGCUUUUCUUCGGAACCUUCAUUACAAGAGCUUACCCAUGGCGGUGAAUUAGUGAGAUUUAAAAAUGAUUAGCUAGUCAAUGGAAGAAAUAGUUAUAUUGCGUAGACACUAACAUGAGUAUCAAUGUUAAACAUGGCUAAUCUUGGAAAACUGAACUCUCUCUUUAUAUACACACAUGCACACACACACACCCACACACCCACACACACACUCAUAUAUAUAUAUAUAUAUAUAUACACAAUAUAUUAUACAUAAUAUAUUAUAUAAAUAGCAUAUGUAUUAUACAUAUAUGUAUCUAUAAUAUAUAUAUGUAUAUUAUAUAUUAUACAUAUGCAAUGUGUAGUACAUAUAUAUUACGUAUGUUAUACUUAUACAUGUUAUAUUGUAUAUACAUAUAUGAAUAAUAUUACACAAUACAUAUUUGUAUAUGUUAUAUAUAUUUCAUACAACAUAUAUACAU